UUUAUUUUCGUCCGCCCAGGCACCUGCCCGUAAGGGUUUCCAUGCCCUGCAAGGUCGGAGCGGUGGCGGUGGCGGCGGCGGCAGCAGCAGACAGUCAUACGCACGACGAAUGGUGGUGGCGGCGGCGGCUUCUGGUCAUCAUCCCGUCAGGGUCGUCGUGCGCAAGCACCAACCAGACGGGUCCGGGCACCGGUCGCGAAUGAGCUGGGUCCGUCCGAGGCGCGCCAAGGCAUCGCCAAAGCCCAAGCCCGAGACUCCGGCCAAUCGAACUCGGCAGCCCCCGUCUUGGCGAUCUCGCGACUCUGGCCAUGUCGAUUGGUCCGGCAACAUGGAGAGGAAGCUGCAAAGAAUCUCCAAGUGGAUUUUAGGACCACUACAGCCAAAGUUUUCAUGAAAACUGCAGGGUUGCUUAAGAGGAACAAACAGUUCUUAAGUUCAUUACAUUAGAGUGGCUGCUCAGCUGUAAAUUAGUAAUACAUGCACAUAGAGACUAAUCUGCUAUGUUCAGUAGCAAUACAUCAAUUAAGUUCAGUACAUGGUUCGUGUAUUGCAUAUGAUGGUUCAGAUAUGGUUUAUUCCAUUCAGGCUAUUCUGCUAUGUUGUGAUGAGUUUGGGCAUUUGGACGAAGAGAGCAAAUCGAUUAUGGAGAAGAAUUUUUGUGUGCCGUGGAUUUGCCAUUGAUGAUUUAGACUUUAGUUUGCACCAUCAUUGUAGUAUUAUAUUACUCCCUCCGUUUUUAUUUACUCUGCAUAUUAGAGUUGACUGAAGUCAAACUUUCUAAAGUUUGACCAAGUUUAUAGAAAAGAUUAUAAAUAUUUACCAUUACAAAUCUAUAUGAUGUUGAAGUACAUUCAACAAUGAAUCUAGUGAUAUUGAUUUGUUAUUAUAUAUGCCAAUAUUUUUGUCUAUAAAUUUGGUCAAAGUUUACCAAGCUUGACUUUGACCAAAGCUAAUACGCGAACUAAAUAAAAACGGAGGGAGUACUAAACACUUGAUUUUUUUUUCAUUUAGACAUUUCUUUUUGGUAGGCACACCUAUGUCAACAUAUUGUGCCCUCCUUAAAUUCAGUUACAAGUACUUCUGUGUGUGUGAUGUUGCCUUCUCUUAUGAUGUGCUCAUAGGCCAAAGUGAUUUCUCCUCUCUUUAUCUGUAAAACUAUAACCCAACAUUCUUGGCCGCCCACCCAUGUUUGACUUGGUCUAUAUGGCAGUGUGCAGAAAGCCUGAGCCCAAGAAAACUCCAUUGUGGCUCACUGCUUCUGCUGAUGAGUCGUAUAAAAAGAGUCAUGUGCUAUCCAUUUAUUAUUAUUAUUAUAAGUUCAUCGCUACCACUUUUACUUCUCUUUAUUGUUUUAUGUGCCUUUGUAUAAUAUGCUAUUAUAGGAUAUUUUCUUGUUCCAAUCAAAUCCAUAAUAUAGUUCAUCCUUACUAAAUAGUAGUGUCUACUUAACUAAUCUGUACUAAGAUCUGGUGGCUUUGGUAGUUUCAUCAGUAUCUUGCACUUCUUAUAUAUAAGGCCUCUUUAGGAACUUCUAAAUUUUUAUUUUGUCAUUAGUGGUGUGGUGUGUCUGGUUAAAUUGGUAUUACUAAUAGCUUUCUUUCAGUUUUCUCUUCAAUUACAGCUUGUGGAAUUUGAGGAGAAUCUGUGCACCAGCAUCCGACUCCUUGAUGUUGCUCUGAUCAUAUUGUGUAAAUAUGUUUCUAAUAAAGCAAUCGCCCGAUGGUGUACAUGUUAGAAAUAACAAGAUGUAAUCAUCAAGUGUGAGAGAUGGCAACAUCAUGAUGGGAUGGUAUGUACUGUUGUGCUCAUCAAUAGGGGGAGCUCAAGGUCAUGGCGGGGCUUCGAUUUUUCUUGUAGAAAAGAGAGACAGAGGAGGAUCCAGGGAGGAGGAGAGGUAGGAGAAGAAGGACGGGGAAGUAGGAAGGGUGCAGUAGGGGUGAGUGUGCUUCCGCCUGCCAUGCCCAAGGCUUGAUCUGACGCCGCCUCUCCUCUACCCAUGCUGUCUGUGACACGUCAGAUCCCCAGCUGCCGGCACUUCUCCUCUGCCCAUGGGCCAUGGCUGUUCUGAUGCAUCAAAUCCACUGCAGAUCGAUCUGCUGUAACAUUGGCUGGGUGUUCUCUUCUCGACUCUACCAACACUCUGGAGUUACAAGCAAUUACAUCAGGAGCUCGGUCAAAAAUCACCUAAGAAAAAUAUGUCGUUCUUUUCUACAAGGGUUGCAUGUGGAAUUUGAGGAGAAUCUGUGCACCAGCAUCCGACUCCUUGAUGUUGCUCUGAUCAUAUUGUGUAAAUAUAUUUCUAAUAAAGCAAUCGCCCGAUGGUGUACAUGUUAGAAAUAACAAGAUGUAAUCAUCAAGUGUGAGAGAUGGCAACAUCAUGAUGGGAUGGUAUGUACUGUUGUGCUCAUCAAUAGAGUUAGAUCACUUUUCUGUCUGAGAGUCGAUUUUUUUUGUGCGCUAGAUGGAUUGACAAGUACCAAAGAUUGAUGCCAAGCAGAACUAAAA